rnacentral:tRNA from 1 species
GCCUUCGUAGCUCAGGGGAUAGAGCGACGGUUUCCGGUACCGUAGGUCGGGGGUUCGAAUCCCUCCGAGGGCA